AGGCAAGUGCCUCACAUUCACUGUGUGGAUUCUGCGGAGAAAAGUAGCUAUAAGACUGUUGCAAAGAUCAAGUGACUGCUUACCGUAGUGCCUGGCAAGACACAUGUGUGAUAUAGAUAACGGCUGGUUAUUACUCAUCAGCAAAAUGGAGGAGGAAGGUGCUAUUUGUGAAGUAGGAAGUGGGCCAUCACCAGACACAUGGACCAUCAGUUCCUUGAUCUUGAAUUUCUAGCCCCAUAACUACAGGUGCCUAUUGUAACUGUGAUCUGAGAGGCUUCACCCAGCAGCUGAUGGAAACAUAUGCGAAGACCCUCAGCCAAACUUCAGGCGGGGCUUGGGAAAUCCUGUGGAAGAGGGAGAGAAAGGUUUGAAGAAGCCAUAGAGGUCACGGACACCACAAGAAAACCUACAGAAUCAACUAAUCUGGGCCCAUAGGGGCUCACUGAGACUGAAUCACCAGGCAGAGAACCUUCAUAGAAGGGAUUUGGGCACUCUACACACAUGUAACAGAUGUGGGACCCCUAACAGCAGAUGCAGGUGUUGUCUCGGACUCCGUUGUGGAUCCGUCUGUGGAUCCCUUUUCCCUAGCUGGGCUUCCUUGCCUAGCUUCAAUAGGAGAUGAACCUAGUCAUACUGCAGCUUGAUACGCCAAGGUCAGUUGAAACCCACAGGAGGCCUCUUCUUCUCUUCGGAAAAAGGGAGGGAGGGGAAGGUAAGAAGGGGGGUCUGGGAGGAGAGGAAGGAAGCUGUGAUCUGGAUAUAAAGUAAAUAAAUUAAUCAAUUAAAAUGUGAUAAAUUUGAGAACAGAGGUAAAACAACAAAAAAGAAACAUGUUUUAGAUUACUACGUUUACCUUAUUAUAUUAAUUAUCUUUUAUAUUACUUAUAAUACAUCUACUAUAUUAAGAAANNNNNNNNNNNNNAUUAAUAGUAAUAAAUAUAUUAUUUUCUCUA
ensembl:lincRNA Gm36307 predicted gene, 36307